UGCGCGACAACUGCGUAUCGUGGAUCUCCGGUGGUUAUCACGGACGCCACUAAAAAACUACGAGCCCUCACGUCUCCCCUCUUCCUCUCUCACCUCUCUCGACACCGGAAAUCGGAUCAGCUGCCAACGCCGAGACACCGACGAUACACCUCCGAGCGAUAACAUGUACCAGAAACGCCGUGCGCUGCAGUGAUCAUCUGAAAUCAAUUUUGGGCAAUAUUUUCGAACGGAGACCGCCUUUAGGUAAAAUUUGUAGAGCCAGGAUACAAGUACAGGAACAAGUCUAUGAAGUUCAGAUAAGAGGAAUAAUCAUAACCUGCUGAUUAUGGCUGGAAGUGGCAGGGAAAGUGGGGCGGAUUCUAUUCCGAUUAGGACAAUUUGUUGAGACUUAUGUCGAGCACCGUAGCACAGUUUGAACUAAGCAUGGCCUUUUGCGGGAUAUUGCGGGACCCGCGUUGGCAACCCUACCGGGAUCAUGUUCAGAGAGAUUUGGAUUCUAUCAUGGACUCCUCUCCAAGUUUCCGCCGGCGAGCACCUGAUGACACCUCAGAUUCUGUGAAAAACAUUGUUGUGCCUGACAGUGCGCUUACGCAUCCAUCCUUCCUCACUCCAACUCCAAGCCAUCGCACCGAAACUUCGGGCGCCGGCUGCUCAACUGGAUCAAUGGCCAGUGAGAACCCAACGGUAGCCUAUUCAAACAUGCUCGGAUAAGUUUAUGCAUCUAUUCGAGCGGGGAACAAAUCAACCGUAGGCUAUGAAAGAACCAUGACCGUCUUCAAGGAACUUAAACUGCAGCUAGAAGAAACUCCUGUUGAUGAGAUGCCGGAGCAACAUUAGCCAGCCUAUUGUUAUCAAGAUGACCAUUCUGCAAUCAUUUUUAAAGCCCCACCAAAGGGUUCAAGAACUGAACAUGGAGUGCCACCCAUCAUCGGCGCACAUGGGAAAAAGUUGUGCACAAGAGCUUGUGGGAAUUGUGGCCGUGAAGUUUUGUAGUUCUUGCACAUUCGCUAUA